GAACUGUUGAGGGGAUGAUAACUCAUCCCUCUUCACCGCAGAGUUGUUGAGGGGAGAUGACUGGGCCAAAACAAAAAGGAGUUGGUGAGAGGGGCUGAGGUACGACGUUUCCUAUUUGAGAUGAGAAAGGCUGCGGAAGUGAUGAGGGAGGGCGAGGGAUUUGUUGAAUACACGGGAGAGGAUGAGGGCUAUAAAAAGGGGAAGAGGAGAAGAAACAAUUUGCUGCUAGAGAACGUGGAUCAGAGUUUCAAGAAGACCAAGGGCAUUUAGAUGAUGGUCUCCUGUUGCCAUAAAGGUCUUGAAUUUGGGAACUGACGGAGCUUCAAGGAGUUUUGAUACCGACUGUCAACCUUUGAGGAUGGUUCAUCACAGAAAUCUUGUUCGAAUCAACGAUACUUGUUCCAAGUUGGAUUUCAAGGCGCUCGUCCUACAAUUCUUGUCUAAUGGUAGCCUUGAAGGAUUUCAAGCUUGCCGACGAUGGGUAUGUGAUGCAAAUCAUACCGGCCUGUUUGAUACUGUGGACUGCAAUCUCUUGAAAGAUGAGUAAGGAAAUGAUUGCUUACUAUUGGAAUGUGUGCAAAGUUCUUAUUUCCCUCUCUCUAUAUGAUUUGUUUAGAAAGUCCUAUGUAAAACUUAAUUUGAAGAUAUAUCUAUUGAAUUCAUAUAUUAUCAAUAUUAAUGAAUUCCAAAACUGAAAACAAAAUAAAAAACAAUGAAUUACUAUAGAUUAGCAUAUAACAUAAAUAAACUAUUUUCCAUUGAGUUCUUCUUACAACUUCCUUUCUAACCAAACAUAAAAGUGAAUAUGAUUUCUCUUUCUUUUCCUUUCCCUUCCUUUUUUACUUUCCUUUUUAUUUUCUUUUUCAUUAUUAUCGCUGAAACCAAACAGAGCCUUUGGAAAUGUAAUUUGUGGAAGGUUCAUAAUUUAGAGAUGCGUUCUCUUAGAAUAUCUUCUUGCAUUAAUGAAUCUAGGGAAUCAUAAGUCGUAGAAUAGUUUAAUUCAAACUAGAUUUGGGAAAAGUGAGCUUUGGAUUUCAUUUUUCAAGAUGAAAUUUAAUUCAAACUAAAUUUUGGAAAAUUGAGCUUGGAUCAUAUUUCCACAUUGGCAGUGUUUUUUUAAUUAUUUAAUAUCUUAUCCGUAAUCACUGCUAAUAUCGAUGUUAAAGUCAGCAGUCAGCAGUCAGCAACCAUCAACCAACAUUGUAGCCACGACCCACUAAUCGGUAUUGUGGAAACACUGUAGUGGCCUAAGAGCAAGUCUAGCAAGCUCCCAGUUGAGAGUCCUAGUCAGCAAGCUCUCAAGAGCUCUCAAGCAUUUUGGAAUAAAAAAUUAAAAAAUAAGCCUUGAGAGGCCCUCCUUAUUUUAUGGAGCUCCAACAAGCUCCUAGUUAGGAGCUCCAACAAUAUCAAAAAAACCCAUCUUCUAUUUUAAUUUUUUUACCCAUUACUUUCAAUUAUAUUUAAACCUCUUUUAUUUCAUUUCUAACCGUUGGAUACAGCCUUCGAGAGAGCGCACACGAUCUUCGAGGUAAUCCACGGUCUUCGAGGGAACGCACACGGUCUUCGAGGUAGCCCGCGGUCUUCGAGGUUAGGCACGAAGUUCGAGGUAUCGCGAACUUUGACCGUCAACCGACUGAUUCCUAUAAAAUUUGAUGCCUUCUCACCUCA